UGAGGAACAUGACCUUCGGCGGGGGAUAGCCGGCCCAACGGCCGGGUAAUACCGCGUACGACCACAUGGGGACAUCCCUGAGUGGUGAAAGCAGCAAUGCGCCGAUGGAGUGCCUCGCGGCCUAUCAGCUAGUUGGUGAGGUAACGGCUCACCAAGGCGACGACGGGCAGCUGGUCUGAGAGGAUGGCCAGCCACAUUGGGACUGAGACACGGCCCAGAUCCCGUACGGG
rnacentral:rRNA from 1 species